rnacentral:rRNA from 1 species
UACGGAGGGGGCUAGCGUUGUUCGGAAUUACUGGGCGUAAAGCGCACGUAGGCGGCUUUGUAAGUUAGAGGUGAAGGCCCGGGGCUCAACUCCGGAAUUGCCUUUAAAACUGCAUCGCUAGAAUUGUGGAGAGGUGAGUGGAAUUCCGAGUGUAGAGGUGAAAUUCGUAGAUAUUCGGAAGAACACCAGUGGCGAAGGCGACUCACUGGACACAUAUUGACGCUGAGGUGCGAAAGCGUGGGGAGCAAACAGG